AUCUACAUUGGCAUCAAAUCUGUAUUUAAAAAAGAAGCAGAACAAAAGCAAUUCACGGAUCUUGUAUUGCCAGAGCGAGACUGAAGGUCAAGAAUAUCCUGGCUUUUGACUAUCCUUUGGUUUUCCACCUGGAGUUUAUGACUAGCUUGUUAAAUUCCAUUUGAGGAAUUCCAAGGAGCAAUUUUGGGAAUCUGCCAUGCCGGGUUUUGGGGGUCCAACCAAGAAAUCAGUGAUCCAGCCUUCCUAGUAAGCAGCACCAGCCUACCGACGGGCGGCUGAUAAUCACCCCCCUCCUUAGCAACCGGAUGGUUCUGAGGACAGCCUGAGUUGACAGCAACUAAGGUACAUACAGUGACUAAAUGCUUGUAUUGUUUGGUUGAUUAUCCAGUCAUGGGACCAGCAGUCUGAGCAUCUCUUGGGAGGAUGACAAGUAUGCAGUAUAGCAAAUUU